ensembl:snRNA U6 U6 spliceosomal RNA
GUGCUCACUUCUGCAGCACAUAUACUAAAAUUGGAAUGAUGCAGAGAAGAUUAGCAUGGCCCCUGCACAAGGAUGACACACCAAUUCAUGAAGCAUUCAAAACACAG